rnacentral:lncRNA from 1 species
GAAGGACUCAGCUACGCUAGACAGAUCUGGUUGUUGUUUGUUUGUGAAACCUGAGGCUGGGUCACCAUAUGGACCAGAGAAGCAAUCUCGAUUGAGCCUGUUUUCAUAACUUUAUCCCAAAACACAGCUCUUUGGACAGGAUCCAGAACUGAGCCCUCGGGAGGCAGUGAACUAAGCAGCCAGCUGUUGUCUGCAUAGCUGUGGUUAAUCUCUCAGCCACACCCCUUUGGACAUUCCUCUGCAGGGAAGGAGAAAAACACGAGACGUGUCAUAUUUGGCUGCGGCGUAAGCGCUCUGACCCUGCCAUUCUGGGGACCGCUUGCAUCCUAGGCAGCCUGACUUCCCACACAGCUGUGUCCAGGCCUGCUAAUCUGAUAGGAGGGCUGGCUUGCAGAAUGACUGCUUUCUCCGGUAAAGAUGAUGCUGUGAGGAAGAAGGGAGGAAGAGAGAGCCGAUAGAAGGAUGCUCUGGGGAGCAGGAAGAGUUUGCUCUAAGCUUGUCACAUGGCUCCAGUGACCUAUCAGAGGACAUCGUUGAUAACCAUUCGGGGUUCCCAAAAUACCUUUGGUCAUCUUAUUCCAGGCCCCCAAAUUCUGGACCUUUGCCA